ACAAACAGUGUGUGUUUGCGGAAACUCCAGACGAAAAACGAUUCGCUGCUGAGGAAAAUGAGAUGACAGUGCAGAAGACCCAGAUUGAAGACCCCAAAAACCAGAAUAAUCGAAAUAAAAGCAUUGCCAAAUACAUAGCAGCGAACAAAUUGUAAAUAGGGAAAUGUUGAGGUUGACGCACGUCCAUUGGCAGAUGUUUAUGCUUUAGUCGGCAGGCGCACAUCUCCCAUAUUGUCUAGUGGUUAGGAUAUCCGGCUCUCACCCGGAAGGCCCGGGUUCAAUUCCCGGUAUGGGAAACUGUCAAAAGCUUCU
rnacentral:tRNA from 1 species